AUUGAACGCUGGCGGCAUGCCUUACACAUGCAAGUCGAACGGCAGCACGGGGCAACCUGGUGGCGAGUGGCGAACGGGUGAGUAAUGCAUCGGAACGUGCCAUUGAGUGGGGGAUAACGUAGCGAAAGUUGCGCUAAUACCGCAUAUUCUGUGAGCAGGAAAGCAGGGGACCGCAAGGCCUUGCGCUCUUUGAGCGGCCGAUGUCAGAUUAGCUAGUUGGUGAGGUAACGGCUUACCAAGGCGACGAUCUGUAGCGGGUCUGAGAGGAUGAUCCGCCACACUGGAACUGAGACACGGUCCAGACUCCUACGGGAGGCAGCAGUGGGGAAUUUUGGACAAUGGGCGCAAGCCUGAUCCAGCCAUGCCGCGUGAGUGAAGAAGGCCUCGGUUGUAAGACUCUUUCUAGCAGGAACGAAACGGUAGGCCCCGUAACUACGGGCUGCUAAUGACGGUACCUGAAGAAGAAGACACCGGCGUAACUACGU
rnacentral:rRNA from 1 species